AUUGAACGCUGGCGGCAGGCUUAACACAUGCAAGUCGAACGAGUGGCGGACGGGUGAGUAAUGUAUGGGAAUCUGUCUUAUGGAGGGGGAUAACUACGGGAAACUGUAGCUAAUACCGCGUACCAUAGGAUGAGCCCAAGUGGGAUUAGGUAGUUGGUGGGGUAAAGUCUCACCAAGGCGACGAUCUCUCGCUGGUCUGAGAGGAUGAAGAGCCACACUGGGACUGAGAAACGGCCCAGACUCCUACGGGAGGCAGCAGGGGGGAAUAUUGCGCAAGGGGGGGAACCUGACGCAGCCAUGCCGCGUGAAGGAAGAAGGCCUUCGGGUUGUAAAGUUCUUUCGGUAGCGAGGCGUUAACUACAGAAGAAGCACCGGCUAACUCCGUGCCAGCCGCCGCGGUAAUAC
rnacentral:rRNA from 1 species